rnacentral:rRNA from 1 species
UACAGAGGUCCCAAGCGUUGUUCGGAUUCACUGGGCGUAAAGGGUGCGUAGGUGGUGAGGUAAGUCGGAUGUGAAAGCUCGGAGCUCAACUCCGAAAUGGCAUUGGAAACUACCUUGCUCGAGGGUUGGAGGGGGGACUGGAAUGCUUGGUGUAGCAGUGAAGUGCGUAGAUAUCAAGCGGAACACCAGUGGCGAAGGCGAGUCCCUGGACAACUCCUGACACUGAGGCACGAAAGCUAGGGGAGCAAACAGG